AGCGAACGCUGGCGGCAGGCCUAAUACAUGCAAGUCGAACGGUUCCUUCGGGAACAGUGGCGGACGGGUGAGUAACACGUGGGAACGUGCCCUUUGGUACGGAACAACUGAGGGAAACUUCAGCUAAUACCGUAUGUGCCCUUCGGGGGAAAGAUUUAUCGCCAUUGGAGCGGCCCGCGUUGGAUUAGGUAGUUGGUGAGGUAAAGGCUCACCAAGCCUACGAUCCAUAGCUGGUCUGAGAGGAUGAUCAGCCACACUGGGACUGAGACACGGCCCAGACUCCUACGGGAGGCAGCAGUAGGGAAUCUUGCGCAAUGGGCGAAAGCCUGACGCAGCCAUGCCGCGUGAAUGAUGAAGGUCUUAGGAUUGUAAAAUUCUUUCACCGGGGACGAUAAUGACGGUACCCGGAGAAGAAGCCCGGCUAACUUCGUGCCAGCAGCCGCGGUAAAACGUAGACGUG
rnacentral:rRNA from 1 species